rnacentral:rRNA from 1 species
GACAGAGGGUGCAAACGUUGUUCGGAAUUACUGGGCGUAAAGCGCGUGUAGGCUGUCUUGCAAGUCGGGUGUGAAAGCCCUGGGCUCAACCUAGGAAGUGCACUCGAAACUGCAGGACUCGAGUCCUGGAGAGGGUGGCGGAAUUCUCGGUGUAGAGGUGAAAUUCGUAGAUAUCGAGAGGAACACCGGUGGCGAAGGCGGCCACCUGGACAGUGACUGACGCUGAGACGCGAAAGCGUGGGGAGCAAACAGG